GCUAAGAGUGGACACUCUGUUCUACAUGUUGAAAAGUACUGACCAUGAGACAGUGUGUCCUCCCUUGGCA
rfam:Octopus bimaculoides Scaffold12189_contig_48, whole genome shotgun sequence.